rnacentral:tRNA from 1 species
UCUUAAGUAGUUUAUCUAAAAUAUUGAUUUGUGGUGUCAAAGAUGUAAUUUGUUACCUUGGGUA